CCCAUUCCUACGGGAGGCAGCAGUAGGGAAUUUCCCCAAUGGACGCAAGUUGAUGGAGCAACGCCGCGUGAGUGAAGAAGGGUUUCGGCUCGUAAAGCUCUGUUGUUAAAGAAGAACGUGGGUGAGAGUAACUGUUCACCCAGUGACGGUAUUUAACCAGAAAGCCACGGCUAACUACGUGCCAGCAGCCGCGGUAAUACGUAGGUGGCAAGCGUUAUCCGGAUUUAUUGGGCGUAAAGCGAGCGCAGGCGGUCUUUUAAGUCUAAUGUGAAAGCCUUCGGCUCAACCGAAGAAGUGCAUUGGAAACUGGGAGACUUGAGUGCAGAAGAGGACAGUGGAACUCCAUGUGUAGCGGUGAAAUGCGUAGAUAUAUGGAAGAACACCAGUGGCGAAGGCGGCUGUCUGGUCUGUAACUGACGCUGAGGCUCGAAAGCAUGGGUAGCGAACAGGAUUAGAUACCCUGGUAGUCCAUGCCGUAAACGAUGAUUACUAAGUGUUGGAGGGUUUCCGCCCUUCAGUGCUGCAGCUAACGCAUUAAGUAAUCCGCCUGGGGAGUACGACCGCAAGGUUGAAACUCAAAAGAAUUGACGGGGGCCCGCACAAGCGGUGGAGCAUGUGGUUUAAUUCGAAGCUACGCGAAGAACCUUACCAGGUCUUGACAUCUUCUGCCAACCUAAGAGAUUAGGCGUUCCCUUCGGGGACAGAAUGACAGGUGGUGCAUGGUUGUCGUCAGCUCGUGUCGUGAGAUGUUGGGUUAAGUCCCGCAACGAGCGCAACCCUUAUUACUAGUUGCCAGCAUUCAGUUGGGCACUCUAGUGAGACUGCCGGUGACAAACCGGAGGAAGGUGGGGACGACGUCAAAUCAUCAUGCCCCUUAUGACCUGGGCUACACACGUGCUACAAUGGAUGGUACAACGAGGCGAAACCGCGAGGUUUAGCUAAUCUCUUAAAACCAUUCUCAGUUCGGACUGUAGGCUGCAACUCGCCUACACGAAGUCGGAAUCGCUAGUAAUCGCGGAUCAGCAUGCCGCGGUGAAUACGUUCCCGGGCCUUGUACACACCGCCCGUCACACCAUGAGAGUUUGUAACACCCAAAGCCGGUGGGGUAACCUUUUAGGAGCUAGCCGUCUAAGGUGGACAGAUGAUUAGGGGAAGU
rnacentral:rRNA from 1 species